CGCUCAGUAGUCAGUGUAGAUU
rnacentral:miRNA from 1 species